UGCGUAGGCGGCUUAUCAGGUCUGAUGUGAAAUCUCACGGCUCAACCGUGGAACUGCGUUGGAAACUGGUAAGCUUGAGUGUGCUAGGGGUGUGUGGAACUUCCAGUGGAGCGGUGAAAUGUGUUGAUAUUGGAAGGAACGCCGGUGGCGAAAGCGACACACUGGGGCAUAACUGACGCUGAGGCACGAAAGCUAGGGUAGCGAACG
rnacentral:rRNA from 1 species